ACUGAACGCUGGCGGUAGGCCUAACACCUGCAACUCGAACGUCAUCACAGUAAGAGCUUGCUCUUACGGGUGGCGAGUGGCGGCCGGUUACGGAAUCCAUCGGAAUCUACUUUUUCGUGCGGGAUAACGUAGGGAAACUUACGCUAAUACCGCAUACGACCUACGGGUGAAACCAGGGAAUCUUCGGACCUUCCGCGAGUGAAUCACCCGAUGUCGGAUUAGCUAGUUGGCGGGGUAAAGGCCUACCAAGGCGACGAUCCGUAGCUGGUCUGAGAUGAUGACCAGCCACAUUGGCACUGAGACACGGUCCAGACUCCUACGGGAGGCAGCAGUCGGGAAUAGUGGACAAUGGGCGCAAGCCUGAUCCAGCCAUACCGCGUGGGUGAAGAAGGCCUUCGGGUUGUAAAGCCCUUUUGUUGGGAAAGAAAAGCAGCCGGUUAAUACCUCGCUGUUCUGACGGUACCCAAAGAAUAAGCACGGGCUAACUUGGUG
rnacentral:rRNA from 1 species